CCUCUUUCUCAAGGUGACUGACUGAUGG
rnacentral:piRNA from 1 species